GUCAUAAGCGCCGUCUCGGAAUUAUCAGUGGCUCUUUUUUCAACUCACCUCCAAAGAGAGAGAGAGAGCCAGUGUGUACAGGCCAUGACUUAGACAAUGACUGACAAAGACUCGCUUCUUGAAAAAAAGCGGUUCUUGGUUAUUAAUUAUUGGAAGCCACUUUUAUUGGAGGCACUGAAAUUCUUACGUUAAAAAAGAAAUACAAAGCAAUAACAUUCAAAUGCACUACCGGAACAACAAUAUCAAAGCACUAGAGAUCCGGAAACAGCUGCAUAUUGAAGAAUUGGAGAUCCGGAAAGAACUAUUUAUUAUGUCCAAGUACUAAACUACUAAAAAGGAAGUUAGAAUAAAAUAAACAACCUGGGUUAUGUCGGAGUAGACUGGAUAUGCUUGGGAUAUGUCCAGCCUGUCAUUGCGUUAACUUUAUCAGGAGAUUGCCUCAUUGAAAGACAAGAUGGGCACCAACCUUGAAAACAAGCACCACUUCUCAUGUGCUGUGUACUUGACUAGCCGUCAAUAUAUCAGAUGACAGAGAAAGAGGCAAUUCCCGUUGCAGUUUGUGACAUCCCUAUUGUCAACUGGUUGAAAUCCUAAGCAGCCGGAUGGAACGUUUCUCACUUCUUGUGCUCAAUGGCAGUAUUUACUGUUUCUGUCUUUACAGCAUUAAAACUUUUAUCAUUUCUA